GAUGAACGCUGGCGGCGUGCCUAAUACAUGCAAGUCGAACGCACUGUGGUUGAAAUGAGAUAAGAAGCUUGCUUCGAAUUAAUUUUCAACAUUGCAGUGAGUGGCGAACGGGUGAGUAACACGUGGGAAACCUACCUCUUAGCAGGGGAUAACAUUUGGAAACAGAUGCUAAUACCGUAUAACAAUAGAAACCGCAUGGUUUCAAUUUAAAAGAUGGUUCUGCUAUCACUAAGAGAUGGUCCCGCGGUGCAUUAGUUAGUUGGUGAGGUAAAGGCUCACCAAGACGAUGAUGCAUAGCCGAGUUGAGAGACUGAUCGGCCACAAUGGGACUGAGACACGGCCCAUACUCCUACGGGAGGCAGCAGUAGGGAAUCUUCCACAAUGGACGAAAGUCUGAUGGAGCAACGCCGCGUGUGUGAUGAAGGGUUUCGGCUCGUAAAACACUGUUGUAAGAGAAGAAUGACAUUGAGAGUAACUGUUCAGGCAGUGACGGUAUCCAACCAGAAAGGAACGGCUAAAUACGUGCCAGCCGCCGC
rnacentral:rRNA from 1 species